GACGAAGGAUGCAAGCGUUAUCCGGAUUCAUUGGGUUUAAAGGGAGCGUAGGCGGCCUUGUAAGUCAGUGGUGAAAUCUCUCGGCUUAACCGAGAAAUUGCCAUUGAUACUGCAGGGCUUGAGUACAGUUGCCGUUGGCGGAAUAUGACAUGUAGUGGUGAAAUACAUAGAGAUGUCAUAGAACACCGAUUGCGAAGGCAGCUAACGAAGCUGUAACUGACGCUGAGGCUCGAAAGUGCGGGGAUCAAACAGG
rnacentral:rRNA from 1 species